rnacentral:rRNA from 1 species
UACGAAGGGGGCUAGCGUUGCUCGGAAUUACUGGGCGUAAAGCGCUCGUAGGCGGCUCUUUAAGUCGGAGGUGAAAUCCUGGAGCUCAACUCCAGAACUGCCUUCGAUACUGAAGAGCUCGAGUCCGGGAGAGGUGAGUGGAACUGCGAGUGUAGAGGUGAAAUUCGUAGAUAUUCGCAAGAACACCAGUGGCGAAGGCGACUGACUGGACAGGUAUUGACGCUGAGGUGCGAAAGCGUGGGGAGCAAACAGG